GACGAACGCUGGCGGCGUGCUUAACACAUGCAAGUCGAACGGAAAGGCCCUGCUUUUGUGGGGUGCUCGAGUGGCGAACGGGUGAGUAACACGUGAGUAACCUGCCCUUGACUUUGGGAUAACUUCAGGAAACUGGGGCUAAUACCGGAUAGGAGCACCUGCUGCAUGGUGGGGGUUGGAAAGUUUCGGCGGUUGGGGAUGGACUCGCGGCUUAUCAGCUUGUUGGUGGGGUAGUGGCUUACCAAGGCUUUGACGGGUAGCCGGCCUGAGAGGGUGACCGGCCACAUUGGGACUGAGAUACGGCCCGGACUCCUACGGGAGGCAGCAGUGGGGAAUAUUGCACAAUGGGCGGAAGCCUGAUGCAGCAACGCCGCGUGCGGGAUGACGGCCUUCGGGUUGUAAACCGCUUUCGCCUGUGACGAAGCGUGAGUGACGGUAAUGGGUAAAGAAGCACCGGCUAACUACGUG
rnacentral:rRNA from 1 species